rnacentral:rRNA from 1 species
CCUACGGGAGGCAGCAGUGAGGAAUAUUGGUCAAUGGGCGCAAGCCUGAACCAGCCAUGCCGCGUGCAGGAUGACGGUCCUAUGGAUUGUAAACUGCUUUUGUACAGGAAGAAACACUCCCUCGUGAGGGAGCUUGACGGUACUGUAAGAAUAAGGAUCGGCUAACUCCGUGCCAGCAGCCGCGGUAAUACGGAGGAUCCAAGCGUUAUCCGGAAUCAUUGGGUUUAAAGGGUCCGUAGGCGGUUUUAUAAGUCAGUGGUGAAAUCUGGUCGCUCAACGAUCAAACGGCCAUUGAUACUGUAAGACUUGAGUUACUUGGAAGUAACUAGAAUAUGUAGUGUAGCGGUGAAAUGCUUAGAGAUUACAUAGAAUACCAAUUGCGAAGGCAGGUUACUACAAGUAUAUUGACGCUGAUGGACGAAAGCGUGGGGAGCGAACAGGAUUAGAUACCCUGGUAGUCCACGCCGUAAACGAUGGAUACUAGNUGUUGUAGNAUNUGAGUGNGUAGACGAGGUAGAGUAAGUAGUACCACCGUCGGGAGGUAACGGUCGUCGUUCGAAGAAGUUAGUUAAAGUUAAAGUUAAGUUAAGUUAGACGGACGUUGAGAGAGCGACGGACGACGACGAGGGAGGAGGAG